CAUCACUUGGAAAGAGAUGGUGAGAUACCCAGCAGAAAGAGCAUUGUUUAGCACAGGCAAUAGUCACAAUUAGCAAGCCUUUCUUAAUCUAGCAUGAAAAUGAAUAAUGUUCUACUUCCGACACAUUUCUAGACCUUGAAGAUGAGAAAACAUCAGCGAGCAAAGUAGCUCAGAUAUGUAUCAAAACAAAAGACACAAAAGACCGAGCCGCCACUGGUCUUCCUAUAUUGUUCACCAUAGCUGCCGCUUGCUGGAC
rnacentral:lncRNA from 1 species